rnacentral:rRNA from 1 species
AGAGUUUGAUCCUGGCUCAGGAUAAACGCUGGCGGCGCACAUAAGACAUGCAAGUCGAACGAACUUAAUUGAGAGCUUGCUCUCAAAGCGGUUAGUGGCGGACUGGUGAGUAACACGUAAGCAACCUGCCUAUUAGAGGGGAAUAACAGCGAGAAAUCGUUGCUAAUACCGCAUAUGCUGUGAGUAUCGCAUGAUACAAGCAGGAAAGGAGCAAUCCGCUAAUAGAUGGGCUUGCGUCUGAUUAGUUAGUUGGUGGGGUAACGGCCUACCAAGACGAUGAUCAGUAGCCGGACUGAGAGGUUGAACGGCCACAUUGGGACUGAGAUACGGCCCAGACUCCUACGGGAGGCAGCAGUCGGGAAUAUUGCGCAAUGGAGGAAACUCUGACGCAGUGACGCCGCGUGCAGGAAGAAGGUUUUCGGAUUGUAAACUGCUUUUAACAGGAAAGAAAAAAAUGACGGUACCUGUUGAAUAAGCUCCGGCUAACUACGUGCCAGCAGCCGCGGUAAUACGUAGGGGGCGAGCGUUAUCCGGAUUUAUUGGGUGUAAAGGGUGCGUAGACGGAAAUGCAAGUUAGUUGUGAAAUACCUCGGCUUAACUGAGGAACUGCAACUAAAACUAUAUUUCUUGAGUAUCGGAGGGGUUUGUGGAAUUCCUAGUGUAGCGGUGAAAUGCGUAGAUAUUAGGAAGAACACCGGUGGCGAAGGCGACAAACUGGACGAUAACUGACGUUGAGGCACGAAAGUGUGGGGAGCAAACAGGAUUAGAUACCCUGGUAGUCCACACC